UACAGAGGUCUCAAGCGUUGUUCGGAUUCAUUGGGCGUAAAGGGUGCGUAGGUGGCGCGCUAAGUCAGGUGUGAAAUUUCGGAGCUUAACUCCGAAACUGCAUUUGAUACUGGCGUGCUUGAGGACUGGAGAGGAGACUGGAAUUCAUGGUGUAGCAGUGGAAAUGCGUAGAGAUCAUGAGGAAGACCAGUGGCGAAGGCGGGGUCUCUGGACAGUUCCUGACACUGAGGCACGAAGGCCAGGGGAGCAAACGGG
rnacentral:rRNA from 1 species